CCGAGAGGUGAAAGUGGGGGACCUUCGGGCCUCACGCGAUUGGAUGAGCCGAUGCCGGAUUAGCUAGUUGGUAGGGUAAAGGCCUACCAAGGCGACGAUCCGUAGCUGGUCUGAGAGGAUGAUCAGCCACAUUGGGACUGAGACACGGCCCAAACUCCUACGGGAGGCAGCAGUGGGGAAUAUUGGACAAUGGGCGCAAGCCUGAUCCAGCCAUGCCGCGUGUGUGAAGAAGGCCUUCGGGUUGUAAAGCACUUUUGUUCGGGAAGAAAUCGUACGGAUUAAUACUUUGUACGGAUGACGGUACCGAAAGAAUAAGCACCGGCUAACUUCGUGCCAGCAGCCGCGGUAAUACGAAGGGUGCAAGCGUUACUCGGAAUCACUGGGCGUAAAGCGUGCGUAGGCGGUUCGUUAAGUCUGCUGUGAAAGCCCUGGGCUCAACCUGGGAACUGCAGUGGAUACUGGCGGACUAGAGUGUGAUAGAGGAUGGUGGAAUUCCCGGUGUAGCGGUGAAAUGCGUAGAGAUCGGGAGGAACACCAGUGGCGAAGGCGGCCAUCUGGAUCAACACUGACGCUGAGGCACGAAAGCGUGGGGAGCAAACAGGAUUAGAUACCCUGGUAGUCCACGCCCUAAACGAUGCGAACUGGACGUUGGUUGCAACUUGGCAAUCAGUGUCGAAGCUAACGCGU
rnacentral:rRNA from 1 species